UCCUGAGUACUAAGGUCUAAUCUAAGUGGUAAGAGAAGCGGAGGCUCCCCUCAGUCCCCAGUUCCCCACUCUCUCUCCCCACCGAAUGCUCACCAGUUCCUUCUCCAGAAUCAUUACAAUACUCACUAGGGUUUUCAUUUCUGUGCUGUAUACCAAAACUUUAUUCUUUUUCUUCUUUUCUUUCCUGGGGUCGAGUACAUUUUCAUGUUUUACUUGCAAAGUGCUCAGAUCUUCGCAUCUUUUGCAGCUCCACUUAUCAAGGACAUGGGUGGGGCGGCUUGCAGUGGCUCAAGUUUGGGUAUUUCAUAGAGCAUAUACGGUGAAGCUCCAGUUUUUUUUUUAAUGCUUUCAUUGAGGUAAAACCUGAUUUCUUCCAAAGGAUAGGAGAAAUAUGGUCCGCAGUCAAUCUGCUGUUCUGUCUUGUCCUUGCUGUGGAGUUAAGUCGAUGUGAUUGGCGAGCUUUAUCAAUUGUUAUGGGUUCUUUCAGUCGUAGUUGUGAAAUUGUUGAAUCAAAUGACGAGAUGUGCUCAACUCGGCAUCCUCAAACAUGUUAUCAAGCAAAAAGACAUGAACGAGAGUGGCAACCUCCAGUAAAAAAAGGAUCUAAUAAGUCUUUAGAAGAUGAUAUCAAUAGGCUUUUUGAGGGAAUCAAUAUUAGGACUUCAAAGAGUCUGGAUCUCUCAGACCGUGCAAAUGCAGGGUUCUCCAGAAAAAAUGCCUCAAAGAAGCCAAUGAAGGUAGGUGUUUCUUAUUCACCAGGAAUUGGAUUUUCCGAUCCAGUGUCCUUGAAGCAGGCACUGAGGGGACUUUGUAUAUCUCAGGCAGCUGAAAUGGCUGCCCUCAAAAGAUUAUCAAAGCCACCAGGAUCUCCAGGGGUAUUGGAACCUGGAAGAAUUACAAACUUGUAUAGGUCUGUUGUAAUUGAAGCUGGGGAUUCUGGUCUUCCCUUAAGUGAUGUUAGAGAAGGCAAAGUUGAAAUAUCUUUGAAGCCUGAAGAAAGCACUUCGAAUUGCAUUGAGAGGGUUCACAGAUCCCUUCAAGAGCCGAAAAUGCCGUCUGCAACCCAAAGUGCCUACUCCUCCCCCCGUUUUGGUGUUAAACCCACCAUGAAAAGUGUAGAAAACUCUCCACUGCACCAUGCAAUUUCCCUUGCAUCAAGAAAAGUUGAGACCCAAGCAUCAGGAAAAAUGCGUAUUAAAGCAGAAAGCCAAGAGCCUAAGAGUGAGUCAGCUGGCCAAAGCACCCUUCCUUCUUCACAACCUGCUGUUGAGCCAAUCAUAGAGAAGAUGGGAUUAACUCAGAGAGAAAAUGAGAUUACAUCUACAUCCAGGGAAAUUGAGGUUCAGCCAUUGGAAAUGGUGCCCUCUCAGGGGGGAAACCAGAUUUUAAGUUCUUCUGUUCCUUCUCCUAGUUAUGCUGAUGGUAAGUCAAAGCUUGACAAGAACACUUCAGGCACUAACAAUGUUGCUAGUGGUCCAAAUAGGAAAGUUGGAACUUCAGUGAAAAUACUGGGCAAAUCUACACCUAAGAUAAGACGGAAGGGCAAGUUGCAAAUGGUUCCUCCAUCUAAUGCAUCAAAAACCAGGAAAGAAAGCAAGUCAACCAGAGCCACUGCCACUGCAUCGAAACCUGUUACCAGGAAUAAGAAUCUUGCUUUGAAGAAAACAAAGCAGGAGUCAUUAAUAGCGGCAGCUAAAUCCGACGCAGCUUGCGGAGUAUAUGGUGCUUUUGGUGAUAAUUCCAGCCAAUUAGUUUGCCAGAGAUGCAAGUGUUCCUUGAAAGAUGUGAAAGAGGAGCUGAGUAAGGAGUCUUCAUCACUUGCACAUUCAAAUUCUGCCUCCAUGGUUACCACAAAUAGUAGGACCUGUGAUACAAAUAAGCCUGGUCUCAUUUCAAAGGACUGUGAAAAUGCUAGCACUCCUGCUGGAAAAGGCAACAUGAUACCAAAAAUUAAAGAGAAAGGGGAUUUCUCACAAAGCUCAAAGAGUAGCAUGGGUGAGUACAGCAGUUGUACAAGCAUGAGUGAGGAGAGCACUGUAAGCGGGUCUAGUUGUGGCAAUAGACCACACAUGUCAAAAGAUGUAAGGUGGGAAGCCAUCAAUCUUGUGAAAAAGCAGCAUGGCUUCCUUGGUUUGAGCCAUUUUAAUUUAUUAAAGAAGCUUGGUUCUGGUGACAUUGGUACUGUAUAUCUUGCUGAACUGGUUGGAACAAACUCCCUGUUUGCCAUUAAGGUUAUGGAUAAUGAAUUUUUGGCAAGGAGAAAGAAGAUGCCGAGGGCACAAACUGAAAGAGAGAUUCUGAGAAUGCUGGAUCAUCCUUUUCUUCCUACUAUGUAUGCACAGUUCACCUCAGAUAACCUGUCAUGUUUGGUUAUGGAGUUUUGUCCAGGUGGAGAUCUGCAUGUUCUCCGCCAGAAGCAGCCAGGCAGAUAUUUUCCUGAAAAUGCAGCAAGGUUUUAUGUUGCUGAGGUUCUUCUUGCUCUGGAAUACUUGCAUAUGCUUGGCAUUGUGUAUCGUGAUUUAAAACCAGAAAACAUUUUGGUGCGAGAAGAUGGCCACAUCAUGCUUACGGAUUUUGACUUGUCACUUCGAUGUUCAGUAAACCCUACCCUUAUAAAGUCAUCUUCACUUGGGUUGGAGCCGCCAAGGAUAUCUGGUCCAUGCGCAGGAUCAAACUGCAUUGAUCCUUUUUGUGCUGCACCAUCAUGUAAAGUUUCAUGCUUUAGCCCUAGAAUUUUACCUGCAACUGCAAAAACAAGGAAACAGAAGGCUGAACAAGCAACCCCGUGUAGAUCUUUGCCACAGCUUGUGGCCGAGCCAACAGAGGCACGAUCCAACUCCUUUGUUGGUACUCACGAGUAUUUGGCUCCAGAAAUUAUUAAGGGAGAUGGCCAUGGGAGUGCUGUAGAUUGGUGGACGUUUGGUAUAUUUCUUUACGAGCUUUUGUAUGGAAAGACUCCCUUCAAAGGUUCUGGAAAUGAAGAGACAUUAGCCAAUGUGGUUUUGCAAAAUCUCAAGUUUCCAGACAGCCCAAUUGUUAGUUUUCAGGCAAGAGAUCUGAUCAGGGGGCUGUUAGUUAAAGAGCCAGAGAAUAGACUGGGGACAGAAACUGGAGCUGCGGAGAUCAAGCGGCAUCCAUUCUUUGAUGACCUCAAUUGGGCACUGAUACGCUGUGCUAUACCACCUAUAAUACCCGACUUUUGUGAUGUUGGAGUUCCAAAAGUAGUCUCUCAGGAUAAAGGAAAGAGAUUUCUCGAGUACAAUGCUACAGGAGAGCACUUGGAGUUUGAAUUGUUCUAGAGCAACUCAUUUCUAGGACAUGCUGUCUGUUUAGAAAUGUUUAGCAACAUACUGAAAUCGGCUGUGAUAUUUAUCUGGUCAAUAUUGCUCUUUCAUGGCCAAUUAUGCGAUGGCGAAUUCUUUGCCUGUAUAAGCAUGUCUCGCAGAGUGGCUACCUUGUUCAAAAUUGCGGUCUGAUGUCGAUUUUACUUAUCAGCCUUUGAAAGCAGGUUAAAUUAGACCAGUUAUUCAUCAGAAAUUGUCUCUGCAUUCUUGGUGCAACCAAGCUUAGUUGACAAUUAAGCAAAAAAAUUGUUGGAACAUAUUGCGCGCUUCAGGAACCUGCUUUUCCAUUGAAUGCUACACUUGGUUUGGGAGAUAGAAGUGUGCUACUCUUGGUUAUAUCCUGUUUUAGGGAAGAGUAAAGAUGAGAAAAGGGUUCCUCCAGCUGCUGUACCUUCUUUUAUUUGACAAAUUUAGAUCGAAAGACUCUUCUCUGUACCAAAGCUUCAAAAAUGGUAGAAGCAUAAACUUGAGAUUUUACAAUUUCUCCGUGAAGCUCCAGAAAAGUUGUUGUCUUUCUUCUUCUAUUUCAUCAUGGUCAAACUUCCGUCGUUUCUGGGAUCUAAGUCAUCUAACCAGACUUGCAAACUGUGAAAGAAAUGCCGCAUUGAGCAGAACAAAUCCUCCUGUUUCUCACUGUCCUCGACAUAAUACAGCCUCUGCAUCAUUAUGCUGUCUAUUAAUUUGCUUGUGUGUCAUCUUUAAUUCGAGCAUUUAGCAAGGCUGCCACUACAUCAAGGCUCACCUUUGUCAAUUUCAAUCUGGGACGAUAUCUGAAAUGCUGCUAAUUAGGGAGAUUUAGAUCAGCUGUCUGGAUUGAUUUCUUUCAUCUGCAAGUCCUGUGUGUUGUGUGUGUUGAACCGUACAUAUUCCGUCCUAGAUGCCAUUAGUGGCCCGUGUAUGAUUGACUUGACAAAACUUCCCAUGAUGCGUAACAGAAGAUUGUGCUGGUCCUGCAUCGGUCAUCUCCCGAGUUGUAUACUCGUUUGCCGGGGUUUUUCAAUGGGGUAAAACGUUAGACCAUUUUUCAUCAGCAAGUCUAGAACAGACCGCCUCAUCCUUUUGCCGGAAAGGAAGAAGAGUUAGGGCUCGUUUGUUUCGGGUGAAAAUCUUUUCGGGAAAAACAUUUUCCUAGAUUCCGGUGUUUGG